rnacentral:rRNA from 1 species
UACAGAGGGUGCGAGCGUUAAUCGGAAUUACUGGGCGUAAAGCGUGCGUAGACGGCUAUCUAAGUCGGGUGUGAAAGCCCCGGGCUCAACCUGGGAAUUGCAUUCGAGACUGAAUAGCUAGGGUACGGUAGAGGGAAGUGGAAUUUCCGGUGUAGCGGUGAAAUGCGUAGAUAUCGGAAGGAACAUCAGUGGCGAAGGCAGCCCCCUGGGCUGAGAUUGACGCUCAGGCACGAAAGCGUGGGGAGCAAACAGG